rnacentral:rRNA from 1 species
GACGAACGCUGGCGGCGUGCCUAAUACAUGCAAGUAGAACGCACAGUUUAUACCGUAGCUUGCUACACCAUAAACUGUGAGUUGCGAACGGGUGAGUAACGCGUAGGUAACCUGCCUGGUAGCGGGGGAUAACUAUUGGAAACGAUAGCUAAUACCGCAUAAUAUUAAUUAUUGCAUGAUAAUUGAUUGAAAGAUGCAAUUGCAUCACUACCAGAUGGACCUGCGUUGUAUUAGCUAGUAGGUGAGGUAACGGCUCACCUAGGCGACGAUACAUAGCCGACCUGAGAGGGUGAUAGGCCACACUGGGACUGAGACACGGCCCAGACUCCUACGGGAGGCAGCAGUAGGGAAUCUUCGGCAAUGGACGAAAGUCUGACCGAGCAACGCCGCGUGAGUGAAGAAGGUUUUCGGAUCGUAAAGCUCUGUUGUAAGAGAAGAACGGGUGUGAGAGUGGAAAGUUCAAACUGUGACGGUAUCUUACCAGAAAGGGACGGCUAACUACGUG